CAGGCCUAACACAUGCAAGUCGAGCGAGAAAGGGGAAACCCCGGUAAAGCGGCGCACGGGUGAGUAACACGUAGGUAAUUUACCCCCAGGUGGUGGAUAACCUUCCGAAAGGAGGGCUAAUACAGCAUAAGACCACGUCUUCGCAAGGAGAUGAGGUCAAAGCCGGCCUCUUCACGAAAGCUGGCGCCAGGGGAUGAGCCUGCGGCCCAUCACGGUAGUUGGUAGGGUAAUGGCCUACCAAGCCUAAGGCGGGUAGCUGGUCUGAGAGGAUGAUCAGCCACACUGGAACUGAGACACGGUCCAGACUCCUACGGGAGGCAGCAGUGGGGAAUCUUGCGCAAUGGGCGAGAGCCUGACGCAGCGACGCCGCGUGAGUGAUGAAGGCCUUCGGGUUGUAAAGCUCUGUGGGGAGGGACGAAUAAGUGCUGGCUAAUAUCCAGCGCGAUGACGGUACCUCUUUAGCAAGCACCGGCUAACUCUGUGCCAGCAGCCGCGGUAG
rnacentral:rRNA from 1 species